UUCCAGACUCCUACGGGAGGCAGCAGUGAGGAAUAUUGGUCAAUGGGCGCGAGCCUGAACCAGCCAAGUCGCGUGAGGGAUGACGGUCCUACGGAUUGUAAACCUCUUUUGCCGGGGAGCAAGCGUGCGUUCGUGAACGCGCGUCGAGAGUACCCGGAGAAAAAGCAUCGGCUAACUCCGUGCCAGCAGCCGCGGUAAUACGGAGGAUGCGAGCGUUAUCCGGAUUUAUUGGGUUUAAAGGGUGCGCAGGCGGUGAGUUAAGUCAGGGGUAAAAUUUCGGGGCUCAACCCCGACAAGCCGUUGAAACUGGCUUGCUAGAGUGGGCGAGAAGUAUGCGGAAUGCGUGGUGUAGCGGUGAAAUGCAUAGAUAUCACGCAGAACUCCGAUUGCGAAGGCAGCAUACCGGCGCCCAACUGACGCUCAGGCACGAAAGCGUGGGUAUCGAACAGGAUUAGAUACCCCAGUAAA
rnacentral:rRNA from 1 species